AGCUGGUCAUAACGACUCUGAACCCAUUCAGCAAUCAGUCAACUUGGGGUUUGAGGGUGCCAUUUUUUAUUUAUUUUUCUCUACAUUUUUUCUUUCUUUUUUAUUAUUAUUUUUUUUAUUUUGAUUUUAUUUUAUUUUUCACCCCCUUUUUUUUUUACAUUUGUAAUACCCCAAUUUGACUGUUGCCGGAUUCUCAAGAUGCGGCUGAAUGAUCUGCUUUCAUGCUCAAGUAGACGGGUAAUCUCGUCAGGAAUCUCUUCAACAUCAUCUUCCUCUGCCUCGAAUACAGGGAAUUCAAAAUUGGGAGAUGGCGUUG
rnacentral:lncRNA from 1 species